rnacentral:rRNA from 1 species
GAUGAACGCUGGCGGCGUGCCUCAAACAUGCAAGUCGAGCGGGGCUAUGUAAUAUCGCAAGGUAGAACAUAGCCUAGCGGCGAACGGGUGAGUAACACGUGGGUAACCUGCCUGGAAGACAGGGAUAACGAUUCGAAAGGGUCGCUAAUACCUGAUAAUAUCCUUUCAUCGCAUGGUGAUAGGAAGAAAGGGGAAACCCGCUUUCAGAUGGGCCCGCGUCCCAUCAGCUAGUUGGUAAGGUAAAGGCUUACCAAGGCGACGACGGGUAGCCGGUCUGAGAGGAUGUACGGCCACACUGGGACUGAGAUACGGCCCAGACUCCUACGGGAGGCAGCAGUUGGGAAUCUUAGGCAAUGGACGAAAGUCUGACCUAGCGACGCCGCGUGAGGGAAGAAGGCCUUCGGGUUGUAAACCGUACUGUCAUGGGGAAGGAAGUAAAGUGACGGUACCCCAACGAGGAAGACCCCUGCUAACUACGUG